CCUACGAGAGGCAGCAGUGAGGAAUAUUGGUCAAUGGACGAGAGUCUGAACCAGCCAAGUAGCGUGAAGGAUGACUGCCCUAUGGGUUGUACACUUCUUUUAUAUGGGAAUAAAAUGUUCCACGUGUGGGAUUUUGUAUGUACCUUAUGAAUAAGGAUCGGCUAAUUCCGUGCCAGCAGCCGCGGUAAUACGGAGGCUCCGAGCGUUAUCCGGAUUUAUUGGGUUUAAAGGGACCGUAGGCGGAGUGUUAAGACAGGUGUGAAAGUCGGCGGCUCAACCGGAAAAUUGCAGUUGAAACUGGCAGGCGUGAGUGCAGUAGAGGUGGGGGGAAUUCGUGGUGGAGCGGUGAAAUGCUUAGAUAGCACGAAGAACUCCGAUUGCGAAGGCAGCGCACUGGAGUGCAACUGACGCUGAGGCUCGAAAGGGUGGGUAUCAAACAGGAUGAGAGACCCCUGUAGUC
rnacentral:rRNA from 1 species